GACAGAGGUGCCAAGCGUUAGGCGGAAUCACUGGGCUUAAAGCGUGUGUAGGCGGAUGCCUAAGUACCUUGUGAAAUCCCACGCUCACCGUCGGAACUGCUGGGUAUACUGGGCGUCUUGAGCCAGCUAGGGGUCGCCGGAACAAGUGGUGGAGCGGUGAAAUGCGUAGAUAUCACUUGGAACGCCAAAGGUGAAAACAGGCGACUGGGGCUGAGCUGACGCUGAGACACGAAAGCCAGGGGAGCGAACGGG
rnacentral:rRNA from 1 species